UGUGAGUGAAGAGCAGUGAAAGUGCAGCAGUGCAAAGGCCUGGAAAAAGUUGAACUAUCAGUUUUACAGGAUCACAGUGACUUUCAGUAAAAAUGCCGCUACCUGCUAUAAAAGUUGACCAGAAAUCACUUGGGCCUGUCCAAGUAAUGAUUGGAGUUGUGAUAUUCAUGUUCGGGAUCAUAACCAAAGAUAUAAGUGAUUUAUCUGUCCUCAGCAGAGUCAUGUUCUGGGGUUCUGUUAGCUUUUUCUGCUCUGGUGCUACAUCAGCUGCUACCGUGGACCAUCGUCAUUCCUUUUUGGUAAAAUCCUCACUGAUUUUGAACCUGAUCAGCACCAUUGCUGCACUUGUAGCUGUCAUUGUACUCUCUAUUGAUCUGGUGAACAUGUCUGCAGAAGUACCAUGGUCUGAUCUAAUGACAUGUCAAAUUUCUGCUGUACUUAUGCUUUUACGUCGCACCUAUAGAGUGCUCUUGUUUCUUUCUAUAACUGAGGUUUGCAUGUCCAUCUGGACAUUUGUACUUAUCUGGAAAUCCAGAGACUCCACUUAAGCUAUGUCUUAGGCAGCGGAUCAGAAAUUAACAUGAGGAAAACAUCAACCUGCCUUCAGUUUUUUAUUAUGCUUAAAAAAUUACAUAAAUAAAAAAUUUUCCUAAAACAAACAAAGCCCUGAUUAGACUCUCUCUCUCUCUCUCUCUCUCUCUGUUUUUCCUAGGAAUGUUAUAAUGUGCCUUUUUACAGUAAAUGUGAGACUAAAUACCAAAUAAUU